UACGUAGGGUGCGAGCGUUAAUCGGAAUUACUGGGCGUAAAGCGUGCGCAGGCGGUUUUGCAAGCCGGAUGUGAAAUCCCCGGGCUCAACCUGGGAAUGGCAUUCGGGACUGCAAGGCUGGAGUGCGGCAGAGGAGACUGGAAUUCCUGGUGUAGCAGUGAAAUGCGUAGAUAUCAGGAGGAACACCUGCGGUGUAGACGGCUUUCUGGACCAUUGUUGACGCUGAGACACGAAAGCGUGGGUAGCAAACAGG
rnacentral:rRNA from 1 species